rnacentral:rRNA from 1 species
UGAGUACGAGAUGCUACGGCGUCGAAGCAGUCUAUGUCAUACUUCCAAGAAAAGCUUGCACUGUCAUAAACAAAGAAUGCCUGUACCAUAACCGACACAGGUGGGUAGGUAGAGUAUACUAAGGGGCGCGAGAUAACUCUCUCUAAGGAACUCGGCAAAAUGACUCCGUAACUUCGGGAGAAGGAGUGCCUUAUUUUUAAGGUUGCAAUAACAAGAUCCAAGCAACUGUUUACCAAAAACACAGGUCUCCGCUAAGUCGUAAGACGAUGUAUGGGGGCUGACGCCUGCCCAGUGCCAGAAGGUUAAAGAAGUUGGUUAGCAUUCGCGAAGCUGAUAACUGAAGCCCUGGUGAACGGCGGCCGUAACAAUAACGGUCCUAAGGUAGCGAAAUUCCUUGUCGGGUGAGUUCCGACCCGCACGAAAGGCGUAAUGAUUUGGAUACUGUCUCGGAGAGGGGCUCGGUGAAAUAGACUUGUCUGUGAAGAUGCGGACUAGCUGCACCUGGACAGAAAGACCCUAUGAAGCUUUACUGUAACUUGAGAUUGAAAUUGGACUUUAUUUGCGCAGUAUAGGUGGGAGGCGUUGAGAAUAAUCUUGCGGGAUUAUGGGAGCCAUCAGUGAGAUACCACUCUUGUAAUGUUAGAUUUCUAACUUUGUAUCAUUAUCUGGUCAAAGAACAGUUUCAGGCGGGCAGUUUGACUGGGGCGGUCGCCUCCCAAAGGGUAACGGAGGCGCACAAAGGUUUCCUCUGAACGGGUAGAAAUCGUAUCUAGAGUGUAAAGGCAUAAGGAAGCUUGACUGUGAGACCUACAAGUCGAGCAGGGACGAAAGUCGGUCUUAGUGAUCUGACGGUGCUGAGUGGAAAGGCCGUCACUCAACGGAUAAAAGUUACUCUAGGAUAACAGGCUGAUCUCCCCCAAGAGUUCACAUCGACGGGAGGUUUGGCACCUCGAUGUCGGCUCAUCGCAUCCUGGGGCGGUAGUACGUCCCAAGGGUUGGGCUGUUCGCCCAUGAAAGCGGUACGCGAGCUGGGUUCAGAACGUCGUGAGACAGUUCGGUCCAUAUCCGGUGUAGGCGUUAGAAUAUUGAAAGGAGCCUUCUCUAGUACGAGAGGACCGAGAAGGACAUACCUCUGGUGUACCAGUUAUCGUGCCAACGGUAAACGCUGGGUAGCUAUGUAUGGAGUGGAUAACCGCUGAAAGCAUCUAAGUGGGAAGCCCACCUUAAGAUAAGUAUUCU